rnacentral:rRNA from 1 species
AGGGUUUGAUUCUGGCUCAGGAUGAACGCUGGCGGCAUGCCUAAUACAUGCAAGUCGAACGAGAGGAAGGAAAGCUUGCUUUUCUGAAUCUAGUGGCGAACGGGUGAGUAACACGUAGGUAACCUGCCCAUGUGCCCGGGAUAACUUCUGGAAACGGAUGCUAAAACCGGAUAGGUAGCAGACAAGCAUUUGACUGCUAUUAAAGUGGCUUUGGCCAUGAACAUGGAUGGACCUGCGGUGCAUUAGCUGGUUGGUGAGGUAACGGCCCACCAAGGCGACGAUGCAUAGCCGGCCUGAGAGGGCGGACGGCCACAUUGGGACUGAGACACGGCCCAA